UCCUACGGGAGGCAGCAGUGAGGAAUAUUGCGCAAUGGGGGAAAUCCUGACGCAGCAACGCCGUGUGAGUGAUGAAGGCCCUCGGGUCGUAAAGCUCUGUUAGGAGGGAAGAAAAGUUUGUGGUAAAUAGCCACGAAUCUUGACGGUACCUCCAGAGGAAGCACCGGCCAACUCCGUGCCAGCAGCCGCGGUAAUA
rnacentral:rRNA from 1 species